rnacentral:rRNA from 1 species
AGUCAGUGGUGAAAUCCUGCGGCUUAACCGUAGAAUGGUCAUUGAUACUGGUUAUUCUUGAGUUCANUUGAGGUGGCCGGAAUGUAUAAUGUAGCGGUGAAAUGCUUAGAUAUUAUACAGAACACCGAUUGCGAAGGCAGCUCACUAAGCUGAUACUGACGCUGAGGCACGAAAGCGUGGGGAGCGAACAGGAUUAGAUACCCUGGUAGUCCACGCUGUAAACGAUGAUCACUCGCUGUUGGCAAUACAUCGUCAGCGGCUGAGCGAAAGCAUUAAGUGAUCCACCUGGGGAGUACGUCGGCAACGAUGAAACUCAAAGGAAUUGACGGGGGCCCGCACAAGCGGUGGAACAUGUGGUUUAAUUCGAUGAUACGCGAGGAACCUUACCUGGGCUUAAAUGCAGAACGACGGUUCCCGAAAGGGAUCCUUCUUCGGACGGACUGCAAGGUGCUGCAUGGUUGUCGUCAGCUCGUGCCGUGAGGUGUCGGGUUAAGUCCCAUAACGAGCGCAACCCCUAUUGUUAGUUGCCAGCGAGUAAUGUCGGGGACUCUAACGAAACUGCCGGUGUAAACCGAGAGGAAGGUGGGGAUGACGUCAAAUCAGCACGGCCCUUAUGUCCAGGGCUACACACGUGUUACAAUGGACGAUACAGAGGGAAGCUACUUGGCGACAAGAUGCUAAUCUCGAAAAUCGUUCUUAGUUCGGAUUGGAGUCUGCAACUCGACUUCAUGAAGCUGGAAUCGCUAGUAAUCGCACAUCAGCCAUGGUGCGGUGAAUACGUUCCCGGGCCUUGUACACACCGCCCGUCAAGCCAUGGAAGCCGGGGGUACNUAAAGUCCGUAACCGAAAGGAGCGG